UACGUAGGGUGCAAGCGUUAUCCGGAAUUAUUGGGCGUAAAGAGCUCGUAGGCGGUUUGUCACGUCUGGAGUGAAAACUCAGGGCUCAACCCUGAGCGUGCUUCCGAUACGGGCAGACUAGAGGUAUGCAGGGGAGAACGGAAUUCCUGGUGUAGCGGUGGAAUGCGCAGAUAUCAGGAGGAACACCGGUGGCGAAGGCGGUUCUCUGGGCAUUACCUGACGCUGAGGAGCGAAAGCAUGGGGAGCGAACAGG
rnacentral:rRNA from 1 species